AUGGGGAUGAGGCGCCGGAUCCGGAUCAAACCAGGGGAGUUUGGGACAGAACCAGUUAAGAUUUGGGGAUGGGAUGAGGCGGCCGUGACCCUGCUGGAGUGCGGGGGGAACCUCCAGCCCCCCGGGGGGUCCCUGACUCUGCUGUGCCGCGCCUCCGGGUUCACUUUUGGGAGUUACGACGUGGCCUGGGUACGGCAAAGCCCCGGGAAGGCGCUGGAAUGGAUCGCAGGGAUCAGGAGCGAUGGCAGCAGCACCUACUACGCGCCAUCGUUCAAGGGCCAGUUCACGAUCUCCAGGGACAACGGGCAGAGCUCGGUGACGCUGACCAUGAACAACCUCAAGGAUGAGGAUUCCGCCAUUUAUUUCUGUGCCAGGGGUUAUGCUAAUGAUGCUCGUGCUAAUGAUGCUGGUGCUAAUGAUGUUGUUUUUCCCUGUCCCCAUCACUGUGUCCCCGUCGUCUCCACACCUCAAGUCUUGACUCUGAUCUUGAGCACUGACCCUGAGUCUUUAGUACUGGGCCCAAAGUUCAGAUUUGUAUCUGCUGGAAUCAGUUUUUCAGAGGAACUCAUCUCAGACGUGUCCUCCCACACCUGA